GCGACGAUGUCCGGCAUGGCAGCAACUUCUUCGGCUGCGAUCUCCGGCACGGCAGCGACUUGUUCGUCAACAACCACUGGUUCGGCAACGGCCUCUUGUGGUAUGACCGGCGUCACUUCCUUGGGCACAACCGUCCUCGUGCCUGGCUCCGGUGUUCCCUUGGAGUGGUUGCGCUGCACCCAGCGGUUGCCAGUUUGGUGGCGUCGGCACACCCAGCUGUUGCCGUGAUGACGAUGGCGGAGGCCACCACCAGGGCCGGAGCGGCGUCGGGGCACCCAGCGGUUGCGGCGGCGGAGGCUACAAUUCCUGUCCAGGCGGCCAUGGCGGCGAGUGCCAAACGCCCGGCGAUGGUAAACAGCAAUGCCGAAGUUCUGGCUAGCAAACCUGGGGCGAUGGCGUCUUGUGACAAGCCUUGCAAAGGCAAAUGCUAGUUCCGGCAAAGUUGCCAUCUUUCUCACCUGUUUUCUCUGUACUUCUCCUAUGCCUAUUAGCUCUCUGUUUCAGAGCAUGCGUGCGAAUAACGUGAGAAGAAAUAAGAGAUUGAAGUGAAUGGAGUAGUUUUAUUGAUGUUAUUGUUCAGCCUUAUAUACCAU
rnacentral:rRNA from 1 species